GAAGUUAAGAAUAGCAGAGGUAUAUAAUAAAUAAAACAAGAAAAACAUGUUUAAUUGCCUUGGACGUAUUCAUGGCAGCUGGAAGCAGAAGUUUAGAGUACAAUGCACGGUUUUCAGCUUUUAUCAAUAUCCAAGAAUCAAAAUAAGGUCAUGACUCAUGACAAAUGCUCUUGCAACAUCUGUCGGCGAAAUAUUGCAGCGAAAUAUUGCAGACUUUCGGAUAUACUUACCAAC